rnacentral:rRNA from 1 species
UGCAGAAUUCAGUGAAUCAUCGAAUUUUUGAACGCAUCUUGCGCUCCUUGGUAUUCUGAGGAGCAUGCCUGUUUGAGUGUCAUUA